AUUGAACGCUGGCGGCAUGCCUUACACAUGCAAGUCGAACGGCAGCACGGGAGCAAUCCUGGUGGCGAGUGGCGAACGGGUGAGUAAUAUAUCGGAACGUGCCCAGUCGUGGGGGAUAACGCAGCGAAAGCUGUGCUAAUACCGCAUACGAUCUAAGGAUGAAAGCGGGGGAUCGCAAGACCUUGCGCGAUUGGAGCGGCCGUUAUCAGAUUAGCUAGUUGGGGGGGUAAAGGCCCACCAAGGCGACGACCUGUAGCGGGCGUGGGGGGACGACCAGCGGCACGGAAACUGGGACACGGUCCAGACUCCUACGGGAGGAGGCAGUGGGGAAUUUUGAACAUGGGGCGCAAGCCUGUUCCAGCAAGGCCGCGUGCAGAAUGAGGGCUUUCGGUUUGUAAACUGCUUUUGUAGGAACGAAACGGCCCUUUCUAAUACAAGGGGCUAAUGACGGUACCGUAAGAAUAAGCACCGGCUAACUACGUGCCAGCCGCCGCCGUAAUAC
rnacentral:rRNA from 1 species